rnacentral:rRNA from 1 species
AUGGCGGAGGAGGCAGGAAGGAGGAGGCGCGCGGCGGUGGUUGUGCUGGGCGACAUCGGCCGCAGCCCGCGGAUGCAGUACCACUCCCUCUCGCUCGCCAACCAGGCCGGCAUGGAAGUGGACAUUGUUGCAAACGGAGGAAGUGAUCCCCAUUUAUCCCUGAGAGAGAAUCCAUCAAUUCAUAUACACGAGAUGAAAUCAGUGCAGUUAUCGGGAAUUUCAAAGAUAUCUGGUGCCCUGGCGCUGCUACUUAAAGCUGCCAUCCAGUUUAUCAUGCUGAUUUGGUUUCUCUGCUUUAAGAUUCCUCGCCCUGAUGUCUUCAUUGUUCAGAAUCCACCCUCCGUUCCAACAUUGGCGGCUGUAAAACUGGUUAGCUGGCUAAGAGGUGCUAAAUUUAUUGUGGAUUGGCAUAACUUUGGAUAUACUUUGCUUGGGUUGUCUCAUGGCAGAAGUCAUGUAAUAGUCAAAGUCUAUUUUUGGUUUGAGAAGCACUUUGGACGUAUGGCUGAUGGUGCCUUUUGCGUUACGAAAGCAAUGCAACAUGAGCUUGCUCAAAAUUGGGGAAUCAAGUUGGGUGGUUCCAUUUGUGGUGCUAUGGGCAGUGCUGAUUGCAUCUCUGUUGAAAAAGAAGUGGAAGACAAGAACACUACUGUACUUACUGGCAAGAUUGAUGGUGGAGUUUCGUUGAAGCCUAAUAGACCUGCACUUGUUGUGAGCAGCACAAGCUGGACACCAGAUGAAGAUUUCAGCAUACUUCUGGAAGCAGCACUGAUGUAUGAUAGACGUGUUGCUGCAACAUUAGGUGAAGAGGAUUCAAUGGACGAGGGGCAGCUUUGGAUUGAUAUCAAGAAUGGAAAGCAAUUUGAUUACCCAAGAUUGCUUUUCGUUAUCACAGGUAAAGGGCCUGAUAGGAAGAAAUAUGAGGAGCAAAUAAAAAGGUUAAAAUUGAGACGUGUUGCCUUCCGGACUAUGUGGCUUGCAUCGGAGGACUAUCCUCUAUUGCUAGGAUCAGCUGAUCUAGGCGUAUCGCUUCAUACAUCCUCGUCGGGGCUUGAUCUACCUAUGAAGGUGGUUGAUAUGUUUGGAUGUGGAUUACCAGUUUGUGCCGCUUCAUUCUCCUGCAUCGAGGAGCUUGUAAAAGUAAACAGAAAUGGACUUCUUUUCUCAACAUCUUCGGAGCUCGCAGAUGAACUUAUGAUGCUCUUCAAGGGAUUUCCAGAGGAAUGCGAUACCCUGAAAUCCCUGAAGGAUGGUGCCUUGAGUACAGGGUCAUCUUCCAAAUGGUCAGCAGAAUGGGGAACUAAUGCACUUCCUUUGGUGAAUCAGGUCAUAGGCUAA